UCGACCUCGCCCGCGCACCCCCACGCCUUCCUGGCCUCCGACCCCGCCGAGGCCAUGCCGCGACUCUUUUUUUUUCUCCCAUCUCCGACCCUUCUCCAUUGUCUCUGACGACGACGCCUCUCUCGCCCUUCUCUGCCCUUCUCGCCCUCUCUCUCUCUCCUCCUCCGCCUCCGACGACGUCGCCUCGACGCCGACGCCGCCGAGGUCGCUGUGUUGUUGCAGCCUUGGAGCGGGGGGCCUAUAGCGGGGUUCUCACCGGCACUGUGGCCAUUGGUGGAGAGGCGUGACCAAAAAAAAAUUGUAGAAGAAGAAAGAAGAAAAAAAAGACAAAAAUUUAUAGAAGAAGGAAGAAGAAGAUGAAAUUACACUGUUAAUGCCACGCCCCGGAUUACCACGUUUCCUGGACUCGCCAAUAGACCCACCGUAUACAUAGAAAUUUCUGGUGUAUAUGAAGCGAUAGCAGUACAUGCAAACAGAUAUUAGCUACAAUAAGAAGUAUAGAGCUGCUAAAACAGAAACAUAUAUAUAA
rnacentral:lncRNA from 1 species